AGGUAUAGAAAUCUGCAAUUGAAUUUGGCUACCUGGAGAGAAAAAAAUGAGGUCUCUGGUGUCUCUGUUGGAGAAGGAAAUGGCAACCCAUUCCAGUACUCUUGCCUGGAAAAUUCCAUGGAUGGAAGAGCCUGGUUCUUUCAUUCAACAUAAUUAUUUGGAGAUUCGUUUGUGUUGUUACACGUACUCAUCUGAAUAGUAUAUUUCAUUGUUUGGAUACACCACAAUUUGUUUAUCCAUGUUGGGUAAGUCACCUGUAAUGAACAUUUGAGUUGUAUCCAGCUUGGAGCUAUUACAAAUGAAACUACUAUUUUGAACAUUUAUGUACAGUCUUUUUGUGGAUAUAGGCUUUCGUUUCCUUGACAUCAUCAGUCUCUUUAAUUUUAGCCAUUCUGAUAAGUGUCAAGUGAUAUCUCACUGUAGUUUAAUAUGCGUUUUCUCAAGGACUAAUGAUGUUGAACAUCUUUUCAUGUGCUUAUUUGCCAUUCAUAUGUCUUCUUUGGUGAAGUGUCCUGCCAAAUCUUUUGGCCAUAUUUUUAUUGGGUCAGUUGUUUUCUUACUUUGGGGUAUUGAGAGUUUCUAUAUACUCUGAAUACAAAUUCUUUAUCAGAUAUAUUCUCUACAGAGAUUUUCUCCCAGUCUGUGGCUUGUCUUUUCAUCACAAGUCUCUUUGGAAGAGCAGUUCUUAAUUUUGAUGACAUCUAUCAGUUUGGGCUUCUCUGAUGGCUCAGCUGGUAAAGAAUCUGCCUGCAAUGCAGGAGACCUGGGUUUGAUCCCUGGGUCAGGAAGAUCCCCUGGAGUACGAAAUGGCACCCUACUCCAGUAUUCUUGCCUGGAGAAUUCCAUGGACAGAGGAGCCUAGCGGGCUACAGUCCAUGGGGUCACAAAGAGUCGGACACAACUGAGCGACUUAGCACAGCACACAGUUUAUCAGUUUGGUUUUUAAUGGAUUAUGCUUUUAUUGUCCUAUCUAAGAAAUCUUUGCCUAACUCAGUCACAAAGCUUUUUCCAUGUUUUCUUCUAGUUUUUUUAAAAUAAUUUUAUUUAUGUAUUUACUUUUGGCUGUGCUGGGUCUUCCUUGCUGCCUGGACUUUUCUCUAGUUGUAGCAAGUGGGGGCUACUCUCUAGUUGUGGUGUGUGGGC
ensembl:lncRNA